rnacentral:misc_RNA from 1 species
GCAGAGUCUUCUUUUGACUUCAUCACAGGAUGAGAUUGUUGUCCGUGGAUCGCCUAAUGUUGGUCCACCUUCACAGGAAUCUAAAGGCAGUAGCCAUUGGGAGACACUUGAGCUCUAUCUCGAAAAAUACAAAAAGUUUCAUGCUAAAUUGCCUGUUGUUGUUGCUGAUACUCUUCUUGCUGCUGAUUCUCAAAUUGAGUUGCCUCUUUGGUUGGUUCAAAUGUUCAAGGGUGUGCCAGCAAAAAGUGGUGGGGGAAUGGCAGGAAGUGAGUCAAACCCUGCUACUUUGUUUCGGCUAUAUAUUGACUAUGGUCGUUAUACUGAAGCGACUAAUCUGCUUCUGGAGUACAUUGAAUCCUUCGCGUCACUGAGACCAGCUGAUAUUAUUCGUCGUAAGAGGCCAUUUGCAGUUUGGUUUCCCUAUUCUUUGAUUGAACGUUUAUGGUGUCAACUUCAACAAUCUAUCAAACUAGGCCACAUGGUUGAUCAAAGUGAAAAGCUGAAGAAGUUGUUACAGGGCUCUCUCAUGAACCAUCUAUAUCAACUUAAAGUGGAUUCAGAUGAUGUGAUGUCUUCUGUUUCCUAGUCAUUGCUGCCAGUUUUCCGAUCUGUUAGCUAGCGUGAGCUAUAUGCAGGAUGAAAAUCUGCAGACACAAUUUUUUAAGAAAUCAGAGACAUUAGCUUGUAUCACCACCUUUCCCCAAAACUUGUGAGUCUAACAUAAGAAACUCUGUGUAAAUUCCAACUGGGGGCAGCUCAUCAGACUCACAAAGUCAAUUCAAUGAAUGUAUCAGGUGUAAUUUGUAAAUUUGACUUGGAAAUAUUUAAUACGUAAUGCUCA